AUUGAACGCUGGCGGCAGGCUUAACACCUGCAAGUCGAGCGAGCGGCGGACGGGUGAGUAAUGUCUGGGAAACUGCCUGAUGGAGGGGGAUAACUACUGGAAACGGUAGCUAAUACCGCAUACCAUCAGAUGUGCCCAGAUGGGAUUAGCUAGUAGGUGGGGUAAUGGCUCACCUAGGAGACGAUCCCUAGCUGGUCUGAGAGGAUGACCAGCAAAACGGGAAAUGAGACAUGGUCCAUACUCCGACGGGAGGAAGCAGGGGGGAAGAGUGAACAAGGGGCGCAAGCCUGAUGCAGCCAUGCCGUGUGGGUGAAGAAGGCCUGCGGGUUGUAAAGCACUUUCAGCGAGGAGGCGUUACUCGCAGAAGAAGCACCGGCGAACUCCGUGCCAGCCGCAGCGGAAUAC
rnacentral:rRNA from 1 species